ACACAAGGCCUGCCGCCCAAGAAACGCAAGCCCAGAAGUCCGGCAGUCGAGAAUCACGAGGGACUGGGACCUUGGGCUUACGGUUCUCAGUUUGGCUUGAC
ensembl:ncRNA mir-4960 mir-4960 stem loop